UAAACUUUGAUCCCCAAUUGUGGUCUCACCCUACCCCAGGGGUCAUGGUUCUAAGAAAGUUGAAUCUGUACCAUAUCAGGAAGCCUUCAUGUCAAUAUAAACUUUUCUAACUCAGUGGUUCUUGAAAAGAAGAUUUUUUAAAGAUUUUCACUGUAUAUUCCAAUGUAAAUCUUCGAUACCCUAUAGGGUCGGAAAGUCUCGUCAUGUGACUCGCGAGAAAUAACGUGAAAUCGUACUUCCGGGCAGUUGUCAGGAUGGCAUUAUCAAUAAUGUACUAGACUCGCUACGUUAAAAACCACAUAGAGCUUACUACAAAAAGCGAGAGAGCGGUGGAUAACAACUGGGUUUAGAAAAUGUGUUCUAAAUUGAGCUCUGAGUUAUUACAGCGGUUGUUCAAGCGUCAAUACGAGACAUUUUCCAACAAAGUACAGAUAUAAAAGGGCAAACAACACAGCUGGAUAAAGCAUCCUAAGUCUGCACCUCGUAAAGCUAUGACAAUGAGAGAAAUGUAUCCACCCAGGCAAUCAGAAUAUAGAGUGCAACCCUGAAGGUGCGCUGCAACUCAAAGAGAGCCAUGGUUAUUGGCAUCAAGUCCUCCAUCAGCUUUACCUCACUGGCACCACUUGUGAUUUCAUAGUUUGAACAUGAAAGUGAUUCUCAUCCUUGGAGAUGAAUUAUGGGAAUUAUGCUUGGCACACAUGAUUGAGCCUGUGUGCCCUCUCUGCAAUAACCAACUAGACAGACUUGUAAAAAUUCAAAUGUCUUCCAUUAGUUUUAUUUUAUUUUUACUACAAAUGAUCAGUGUAAAGAUGUGCAUGAAUCACCAUUGUAACAUUUUCUUUGACUAGCAACCUUAAAUAAAUGUUCACUUUAUCAUUUACUUGAAUGCAUUUAAUACAACUUGACAAUGCAGAAUAAUGUGAGUAAGAAGUUAUACAUUUAUAGUAUUUAAGUCCAAAGGUAAGAUUUGAUAAAUUGUGGAAUUCAAACCAGCUAUUUCAUUCAGUAGAGGAUUUACAAAUGUACAAGAGUCACACAGAGUUGAAAAUCUUAGUGGACAGAUAUAUAUGUCUGUAUUGUGAAGGUAUAUGAUUUAGAAUAUAGAUUUUUUUAAUUAUUCAACUCCACAUGAACUUGACUCUUCCUGGUCUUGUACAUGUAACAGCUGUGUUUGAAAUUGGCCUAGUGGCUCUGGAGAAUAAGUCGAAAGUAUGAAAAGUUUGCAAACAGACGGACAAACGACGGACAACGGGUGAUCAGAAAAGCUCACCUAGAGCUUUCAGCUUAGACGAACAAAUGAAAUAUUCCUGUUCAUGUUAUACAUCUAAACACAAACCAUUACUCCAGAAACGAAUAACAACACAAUGUGACAAUAUCUCUUACCUUCCUGUAAAAUUCCAAAAUAGUUUUAUGAUAAAAAAUAUUGCCUCUUAAAUCAAGCCUUACAAAAUACAUGUAAUUUAGAUAUCGGAACAAUUCGUACAUUUUCUACCCAUAGUUUGUAUUAUUGUUUGUUCUGCAGUAUGAAUGAAUUGUAGAAAUUAAUCAAAUAUUCUAUAGAUAGAAAUUAUAGUAAUCCCUUCGAAAUACAAAUUGGAAUUUCACUACAAAGUUACAAACUAUCAAUAUUUUUACGUUAA